rnacentral:rRNA from 1 species
UAUGCUAGACCUCAAAUCAGGUAGGACUACCCGCUGAACUUAAGCAUAUCAAUAAGCGGAGGAAAAGAAACUAACAAGGAUUCCCCUAGUAACGGCGAGUGAACCGGGAAGAGCUCAAAUUUGAAAUCUGGCGUGCUCCGUGCGUCCGAGUUGUAAUCUAUAGAAACGUUUUCCGUGCCGGACCGUGUCCAAGUCCCUUGGAACAGGGUAUCAAAGAGGGUGACAAUCCCGUACUUGACACGACGACCGGUGCUCUGUGAUACGUUUUCUACGAGUCGAGUUGUUUGGGAAUGCAGCUCAAAAUGGGUGGUGAAUUCCAUCUAAAGCUAAAUAUUGGCGAGAGACCGAUAGCGAACAAGUACCGUGAGGGAAAGAUGAAAAGCACUUUGGAAAGAGAGUUAAACAGUAUGUGAAAUUGUUGAAAGGGAAACGAUUGAAGUCAGUCGUGACCUUGGGAUUCAGCCGGCUCUGCCGGUGUAUUUCUCAAGGUCGGGUCAACAUCAGUUCUGACCGGUGGAUAAUGGCUGUGGGAAUGUGGCUCCCCCGGGAGUGUUAUAGCCCGCUGUCGCAUACAUCGGUUGGGACUGAGGAAUGCAGCUCGCCUUUAUGGCCGGGGUUCGCCCACGUCCGAGCUUAGGAUGUUGACAUAAUGGCUUUAAACGACCCGU